rnacentral:rRNA from 1 species
UGCGUAACACGUAUGUAACCUACCUUCGUCAGGGGGAUAGCCUCUCGAAAGAGAGAUUAAGACCGCAUAACAUUAUUGAAUAGCAUUAUUUAAUAAUCAAAUAUUUAUAGGACGAAGAUGGGCAUGCGGAACAUUAGCUAGUUGGUAAGGUAACGGCUUACCAAGGCUACGAUGUUUAGGGGAUCUGAGAGGAUGGCCCCCCACACUGGUACUGAGACACGGACCAG